rnacentral:rRNA from 1 species
GAACGGUAAGGCUCCAGCUUGCUGGGGUACACRAGUGGCGAACGGGUGAGUAACACGUGGGUGACCUGCCCUGCACUUCGGGAUAAGCCUGGGAAACUGGGUCUAAUACCGGAUAGGACCGCACCGUGAGGGUGUGGUGGAAAGUUUUUUCGGUGUGGGAUGGGCCCGCGGCCUAUCAGCUUGUUGGUGGGGUAAUGGCCUACCAAGGCGGCGACGGGUAGCCGGCCUGAGAGGGUGGACGGCCACAUUGGGACUGAGACACGGCCCAGACUCCUACGGGAGGCAGCAGUGGGGAAUAUUGCACAAUGGGCGGAAGCCUGAUGCAGCGACGCCGCGUGGGGGAUGACGGCCUUCGGGUUGUAAACUCCUUUCACCAUCGACGAAGGGUUUCUGACGGUAGAUGGAGAAGAAGCACCGGCUAACUACGUGCCAGCAGCCGCGGUAAUACGUAGGGUGCGAGCGUUGUCCGGAAUUACUGGGCGUAAAGAGCUCGUAGGUGGUUUGUCGCGUCGUCUGUGAAAUUCCGGGGCUUAACUCCGGGCGUGCAGGCGAUACGGGCAUAACUUGAGUACUGUAGGGGAGACUGGAAUUCCUGGUGUAGCGGUGAAAUGCGCAGAUAUCAGGAGGAACACCGGUGGCGAAGGCGGGUCUCUGGGCAGUAACUGACGCUGAGGAGCGAAAGCAUGGGGAGCGAACAGGAUUAGAUACCCUGGUA